CCCCCCACCAAGUAAAGGGAAGAAAGAGAAGGAGAAAGAGAACAGGAUUGUUCUGCUUAUUCAGGAGAAUUAAGAAGAAACCAGAAAAGUGUCUCUCAGUGAGUGCCCCUUUCUCACGUGGUCUGAAAAACCAGCGGGUGGCCAGCAUCAGCAUGAACUCCCUGGGUAUCCACUCCUCCAACACCCUGCCCAUGGACAACACCAUGGCCCCCAUGGCAGGCUCCCAAAGCGCCCCUGCUGACCUCAACGUCCAGCCGUUGACCUCUAGGAAGAAGAGGAGAGCCCCCCCCGCCUCCUCCCUGUGCCCCCACACCAUCAUCCUCCUGUGUUAACACCCACAACGGAUCACCCCUGAGAUCAAAGGGAAUGGACAGUCACUUCACACACUGAAGGAGGAGAUGGGAGAGUGUGAGGGGGACCUGGACUCCCCAUCCUCAUCCCCAAACAUCUCCAGGCCUUUGAGUCAGCCUCGGGUGUCCCCCACUCCCCCUUCUACCCCCUCCACUACCUCUAGCACCUUUCCACCCUCCAAUCCCUACCAUCCCUCCCUCCCCUGCCACCCUAGGGGAGAUACUAACCCCUUUCCUGCUUUGUCAAACCCGGGCCAACCUCAAGCAUCCUUCGUUCCCAACCCCAAGACCCGUCAACUCCACCGAUGGAGGCUCACCUGGGUCCUUGACAAGGUCGGGUGGAAGUAAGGGACUCAGUCCCCUCUCUUUACUCAAACUCAAGACCAAGGACCCUGGUGAAGCUUGGAGGAGUCCCAGUCUGAGGGAGGGGAUGACCACAUUUACCGUGGUGCCCCUAGGGCAGUCCCUGAAGGAGCAGAGAGGCUUGGAGGUGGACCUGACCCUGGCGAAGACCCAGGCCUUAGACCCAGCACAAACCAUUGAUGAACCCUCCAAUGGUGUUGCUGAACCUGGGUUGGAGCACCACCAGACAAGGAAGAAGACACUGGUAUCACUGGAGAGGUCAGAGGUUGAGGGAUCUACCCCAGAGCCUGAUAUGGAUUCUAAACUUUCUCCUCCAGGGUUUCCAGAAGGUUCUACUGACUGGGUCUUCAGUCCUCCAACCGUGUCUAGUCCUAUCGAGCUUUAACAGACCGCAUCAAAUUCACCAGUGGUAGUUAGGAGAAUUCCGAGAUGGAGGCCCAGGAGGAGUCCGAAUCACCCACAGACAGUCUAGAUUCAGAACUACAGAAAAGUCUAGAGGUAGAAGUCUCAGAGGAGUCGGAUACACUCUCAGAUACCCAACCCAUACACAGCUUUGUCCCACACCAAUGGAAUACCUGGAGAUGAGGUGACCUCAACUCCUGAACUACUGGAGAGCAGGGGAUUGUUCUGGAAGCCCAGUCUGGUGAUAGAGGAGGCAGAAGUGGACCGAGACGGAGCCGGCCCAGUUACGAGUGAGGCCUCCUGGGGGAACAAAUCACCGCCCUUCCUCUUAUCCUCCCCCUUCUCUUCAUACGAUGAGUCAUACCUUCUGUGAAUCAGCAGAGGGAGACAAUCAGACUGAUGCCUCUUCUUCACCCAAACCGAACAUGAUUCAUUUGACUUCACCCAAACCUACGUGCCUGCAGCCCUGGACAGGAAAACUGCCAUUUCCUCCUGCUUUACCCAGGCUGUGGCUCUAGCCACCCAUAAGUCCCAGUCCUCCUGUCCUCGAAGGCCAGCACCAGACUUGCUUCCCUCCCUCUCCGGAUCCUCGCCCUCCACUGCUUUACUGCUAACCAAUGCGGUGAGUGAUGAUUUUGACCUGCACUGACACAGUGAUGACAUGCCCAUUUUGCCAUUGUAGCAACUGGAUUGGACCCAAAACUGAACCAUUGUUUACCCCUAUCAUACUACAAUGUGCUUCCUUCUAUACAUAAAGUUGCCAUUCUUAACUUUCAUGAUCUCUCUGUGAACCUCACAUGUUCCACAGGUGAACUCUUUACACCAGUGGAGGCUGGUGGGAGGAGCCAUAGGAGGACGGGCUCAUUGGAAUGGCUGGAAUGGAAUAAAUGGAACGGAGUGAAACAGGGUUUCUAUGUGUUGGAUACCCUUCCAUUCCAGACAUUCCAAUGAGCCUGCCCUCAUACAGCUCACCCCACCAGCCUCCACUGCAUUACACAGGAAAGAAGGGAAGGGCAUAUCUUUACGGAAGUGUGUACAUUCUACAGUGUGAUUGUAAUUUUUUCUCUCUGGAAAGACGCCAUUUGUUACAUUAAAUGGCGACAUAUGCCUUUCUAAACAAUCCUGGCAGGCUGGUAUUCUUCUGAGACACCUUAGUGUUUGUCUGUUAUCUUCAUGUGUAUGUGCAAAAGGUGGUGUAUGGCUCUGUAGAAUACCUCUAUGGACAUGCUCACACUCUGUGUGACCUGGUGGAGGAAGGACCUAAUCUAAACGGGUGAUAUUCGUGUCUCUUGUCCUACAGGGGCCAUAAUGGCUUCAUAGUAAAUCUGUGAAAUGGAAGUUUCUGUUUAGGGUGAGGCAACUGCAGUGAAGUAGAGCCGGCCACCACAUAGUCACAUGACCUCCAAACGGACCCCACUUAGAGGUCGACUGACAAAUCCCAAAGAAGCCCAGGCCCCUGUUUUGCACUGGGAGUCAGCGCGUUAUAAAAACAACAUUUAUCCAAGACUUCAUCCAAGAGUUGGAUUAGUGUACAGGUCAUUUUAUGUUCACUGAAUGUUUGUUUUUGUAUCAUGCUACCUGAAUUAAUUGGAGGCAGUGCUGCCUUUUCGUUAUGUUAUUAAGAUAUUUGACUUUUAUGCGAAGAUGUAUUUAUUUGACCUUGGUAGUACAGUAUUUAUGGGCUCUACAUUUUUGUACUUGGAGUUUCCUGCUGACUCGUUAGUGUUGAAAUGUGCCAAAACCGAGAUUAAAUCAUACGUAAUCUCUCCUCACCAACUCUGAAAUAAGACGACUUAAAAUGUUACAUUUCAUUCUGUACAUAUCACACCUUUCUGAGUGAAUUGUUCUAUAUAUUUUCCCCCCAGACAUUAUAAGUAAAUGAUAUGCCUUAAUCAACUAGUGUGUUGCUUUCUUUUGCCACUGGAGGGCAGGAGCACACCUCACAAAUAUCUCAUGCACAGAACCACUGAGUGAGCUGUUUUGUGAUCCACACUUGAUCAAUUAUUAGCAUUGACAUAUCCAGAUACUAAAGAAGAGCAUCAAUUAUCGUUCAUCUUCUUUGUCUUUACUGGUUAUACUUUUUUUUAAAUGCAUUAGUGUGUUUUUAUUUCAAGCCUUGUUAUCUUUUCAAUUAUUAAGCAAUGGUUGGUAUUUGACAAGGAUAUUCUACAGGGUGCCAUGUUUAGAACAUUGCAGGAAGAUAUGUAAUAUGAAAUGGACAUGAUGUGAAAUAAAUCAUGUUCUUGCUAUG